rnacentral:piRNA from 1 species
UUUCAGGACCUUUUGACCAAAAGUCAGCAGA